ACUCAAAAAGGAAAAGAAACAGAAAAGACAAAGAAAUAGUUAGUAUUCGGUAAGACAAAGGUCAAAAUAGAAUUAGCAGUCAAAAUUCUUCAACGCCUGAAAACGCGAUUUCUGAUCCGAGUUUUCCGAUCAGUGAUCAGAUCAGCAGACAAUAGCAUUUGAAUAAGGGUUAGAAAAUGCUUCUGGCGGUCUUAUUUUCCAACUCUGAGGGCAACAUCCUCGUCGAACGUUUUAAUGGAGUACCAGCAGAGGAGCGUCUGCAUUGGAGGUCUUUCCUAGUUAAGCUAGGUGCGGAGAAUCUUAGAGGGAUUAAGAAUGAAGAACUCCUAGUGGCUUGCCACAAGUCUGUUUACAUUGUAUACACAAUACUUGGAGAUGUCAGCAUCUAUGUUGUAGGAAAGGAUGCGUAUGAUGAACUUGCAUUGUCUGAAGCAAUCUUUGUUAUAACAUCUGCUAUCAAGGAUGUAUGUGGAAAACCUCCAACGGAGAGACUUUUCCUGGAUAAGUAUGGAAAGAUUUGCUUGUGCCUGGAUGAGAUUGUGUGGACGGGGUUGCUCGAAAACAUUGAUAAAGAUAGAAUCAAGAGACUUGUUAGGUUGAAACCACCAACAGAAUUCUGAUGAAGAUUUUUUAUGCAAAGCUCCUGGGACUCAAGCUGCACUCUCACCAGCCAUCCGUUUUACCUGCCACCCUGAUACCUUCUGUCUACGCUCAUUAGACACGGAAUGACGAAUAUACCCUUUCCUUAUUAUCUAAACAUUAGUUGUGUGCCGUUCGAAGUUUUGCCACAAAUUAGUAAACGCCGAUUGCCAUAUCAUAUUCCAAAAACUGGUUAAACAAGUUUACCUAACAGAGGGUUCUCGAUGUCACCAGCCAUGACCAGCCGGCCGGCGAUGCUCUUUCUUCUCGUUAUCACCGUCGCUUCCAUAACUUCCGGUGUCCAAGCAUCAAGAUCCAUCGUGUUCUUGCCCCAGCCUUUGUCAUCCCUCGAUAUAAUCAAUACCACUCUGCACCAGGGACAAAAUGCACGCUGUUCAUUUACGGUAAGCAUAAGGACAAGCUGCUCUUCUCCAGCUUACACUAGAGACCAAAUUAGUUUAGCCUUUGGCGAUGCUUAUGGAAAUCAGGUUUAUGCACCGCGGAUAGAUGACCCGGCAAGCAGGGCUUUUGAGCGGUGUUCGAAGGAUACAUAUACGGUAUACGGUCCAUGUACGUAUCAGAUCUGUUAUGCGUACCUGUACAGGAGCGGAUACGAUGGAUGGAUACCGUAUGAUGUUACCAUCUACGGCUACAACUCGAAAGCCGUCACCUUCAUCUACAAUGUUGCCAUCCCGGGAAACACUUGGUACGGCCACAAUUACUGCCGUUCACGGGCUGUGAAAUCUGCCGGAAACUUGGGCUGGAGUUUGCUUUCUGUUGGUUCCACUAUGUUGUAUACAAUUGCUGGGCUAUUUCGUGGUUAGAGUUUAUGGGCCUUAUGGUUGUUUUGUCUGAAUUGGGCCUUGCGUAGAAAGCCUGCCUAGUUUUAUGGGAUUUGUAGGUUGGCUUGACCAAUUUCUUUUGGGGUUAUUCACGUGUUGUUUUGAUAAAUAAAUGAAGUGAAUGUUAAUGCCACUUGCACUUAGGUAUGGUAAAUUAGUUACUUUGGUA